rnacentral:rRNA from 1 species
UACGGAGGGUGCAAGCGUUUGUCCGGAAUCACUGGGCGUAAAGGGCGCGUAGGCGGCUCAUGAAGGCUGUGGUGAAAGUCCGGGGGCUCAACCUCGGAUCGGCCGUGGCGACUCGUGGGCUGGAGCACUGUAGAGGCGGGUGGAAUUCCGGGUGUAGCGGUGGAAUGCGUAGAGAUCCGGAAGAACACCAGUGGCGAAGGCGGCCCGCUGGGCAGUGGCUGACGCUGAGGCGCGACAGCGUGGGGAGCAAACAGG